AUGGAGGACGAAGGCGUGGAGGCUCGGGACGAUGGCGCCACGGAGUUCGCCAAGAUGACGCCAAUGUCAACAACAUCAACCUUGUGCCGCAAGGAUCAUGACGGGGAGCUCACAAUAAGGACGCCCGCCAUCCACUUCGUCAUGCUGGAGCUAGAGGACGGAGGCGUGGCACCCAUUGAGGAUGCCGCCGACAUCUACUUCGUCAAGCUGGAGCAUGUAGGGAUGGUGCCGCGUGCCGCGGAGGAUGCCAAGACAGAGCUCGCUAGGACGACGCCCGUCAUCUUCUUCAUCAAGUCGGCGCCAUGGAGGACAAAGGCGUGGAGGCUCGCAACAAUUCCGCCACCGUGCCGCCUUGGAUGGCGGCGCGGAGCUUGCCAAGACGCAGCACCAACACCCGGUACCGCGGAGAAUCGUGGCAUGCAACUCGCAAGGAGGACACCACCAACGUCAACAUCAUCAAGUUGGACCGGAGGCAUGGAGCUCGCGGGACAUCACCACCAAGUCUACCUCGUCAUGAUGGAGCCCGCAACACGGAGCCAAGAAUAUAACACACAUCCUUGGUGCUGUCCAUGA
rnacentral:rRNA from 1 species